GCGUUGUAGUGCGCCGCAGCCGACGGUGCGCAGCCGACGCCGCCGUCCACGACGAGGACGGCCGCCGGCUACGGCAGCUGCCGCAGGCCCGUACGCCUCGGCGUCCGGGCUAAGGGCGGGGACGCGGUCAGCCGCCGCCAUUGCGGAGGCGGCGGGAUCUCCGAGGCCGAGGCGGCGACUUGGUCCGGCCGCGAGGAGGCUCGUCGCGACGGGGAAGACGCAGGCGGUGGGGUUCGGCGAUUGCCGUCGACGUCGUGUGGCGGCUCCGGUGGCGCGGGGUCGACGGCGCUGUGACCAAUCAAUUCCACAUCCUCCUCGGAUUUGUACUGAGUGGAGCAGAGAUUCCUACUAGGAUUUGGAUUGACUGAUUCCUCUAUUUCUCACAGUUGAAGGAGAGGUGAGGGGAACAGAGGCUGUUCGCAAUUGCAGAGUUCUCCAAUCCAGCUGCCGUCCGCACGGUAUUUCACAUCUACCCACGCCGCCACCCCUGCCUCUCGUCGCCGGCGUCCGCAACCGCAGGUCUCCCUAUCUCUAGAUUCAUUGGCCUCGUUUGGUUUACGCUAUUCUAUUCCAUUCUACGAGAGAAUCUUAUAUGCAUAAAGAAGUAAAUGAAGUCAAUUUGCAAAAAUUUUUCAGUGAUGGGUGUAACUUUUCGCGACGAAUCUAAUGAUGGUAAUUAAUCGAUAAUUGGCUACAGUGAUGCUACAGUAACAAUCCUCUAAUCGCGCGCGGUCGGAGGCCUCAUUAGAUUCUUCAGGUCACUAGCGCGGGGGUUCUGAAGUUGAUUUUGUAAACUGGCUUUAUUUGACAUCAUAAUUAGCGGUCAAAAUGUCACUAUUUACUAGCACGCUACAGACCAGACAUCACUUGGUUGGGUUACAGGGACCAGUCGCCUACCAUUUAUUGCCAUUAGCAAGGAAGAAAAGGGCGGUUCUAUUAUCAUACUUGCUCCGGUCACAAAUAAAGGAGGCUUUGAGUAAAGUUUGGUCAAACUUUUAAAACUUUUGACCGUCGAACGUCGAUAGCCAUCGAGCAGGGUAGCCCGGACGUCCCCGCGAUCAGUGAGCACGACGUCACGGAGGAUGAGCUCAAGUUGGGCAAGCUCAGCCUGAGUGGCGGCAGUGAGGCGAGGGACGAGGUGGCGCCUGAUGCCGUGCUCCACAGCCGCGCGAACAGAGACGCCCUGACACUUGCAGUGGGAGAAGAGGGCCGGGAACUUGUCGGCCAUGACAGCGUUCCAUUGCCAGCGGUCAGCCCAGAGAUCGGCAGAGGCCCCGUCGCCGAUGGUAAUGCUGGAGAUGAGCCGGAACGCCGGCAGAAGCUUGCGGAGGCCGUCCCAAUGGCAACCCUCGACCUGGCCCUGCAGGGUGAGCAGGUUCACCCGGCCGUUUGCCCAGGAGGAAAAGCCGGGGUUGUGCAGGCGAUGCAGAAGCUUGAGGAGCAGACAUGCGUUGUGCACGCUGAGCUGACGCACGCCGAGGCCGCCCUCGUGCUUGGGAUAUCUACCAUGCUCGGUUCUUGAUAUGUUCACAUGUUUCACAUAUUUUUAACAGGAAGGUUACAAGGUUUAUCUUAGAUUCAAAUCCAUCAGGGGUUCCGUGACUUCCGUCGGAGAAGCAAGCGGCCUCACUGGGAGUGUCGGCUUGGGCUUGGGUGGCAAUCGCAGAGCCUCAUCAAGGUCGGCCUCCAUGGAAGCCUCAGCUGAGCUGCCGCCUCGCUCCUCAGCUAUCUCAAAGCUCAAGCAGCAGCAGCAUUUUUUUUUUAAAAAAAAAGAUGCAGCAGCAAACACUUAGUUACGGUUGCUUCUGUAAAAGAGUACUCAACGCCAAACCAAAAAAAAAAAGAAGCAAUGUUUAUAUA